rnacentral:tRNA from 1 species
AGGUAUAUAAUUAAAACAUAAUAUUUAAUUUGCACUUAAAAUUUACCACAAGGUUAUGCCU